AUACGUAGGUGACAAGCGUUAUCCGGAUUUACUGGGCGUAAAGGGCGUGUAGGCGGUCUUGCAAGUCAGAAGUGAAAUUCCUGAGCUCAACUCGGGCGCUGCUUCUGAAACUGCAGGACUUGAGUGCUGGAGGGGAUAGCGGAAUUCCUAGUGGAGCGGUAAAAUGCGCAGAUAUUAGGAAGAACACCGGUGGCGAAGGCGGGUAUCUGGACAGUAACUGCCGCUGAGGCGCGAAAGCGUGGGGAGCAAACAGGAUUAGAUCCCCUGGUAGUCCACGCCGUAAACGAUGAAUACUAGGUGUAGGGGGUAUCGACUCCCUCUGUGCCGCAGUUAACACAAUAAGUAUCCCGCCUGGGGAGUACGGCCGCAAGGUUGAAACUCAAAUGAAUUGACGGGG
rnacentral:rRNA from 1 species